CACGAAUUAAGGCGAGCUAAUUAAUUGUAAAUAUUAGUUACUAAAUGUUGCAGAAUUGUGUAAAACUUUUAAUUAGGAGUGAUAGGCUUCUCACGUCUUAGGAUAACUUGAUGUUUAUGAAAUAUAUUAAGUAUAUAGUCAAUUAAAGAGUGCCAAGAUUCUUUAUGAGUACAAAUGUUAAUUAAUUCGCUAUUCAAACUAUAACUAGUAGACGCCUUUUUAAAGAAACAUAAAUCUUUUUAAGAUUGUAUAAUAUAAUAAACUAUUCUUAAUCUAAUAAAACAUAGAUAAUGUUAUUAUAAGUAGUAAAUCAAUUAUUUGAAAUGAACUCGGCAAUAUUUUCUCCAACUGUUUAUCAAAAACAUAGCUAGUAGAAUUUAAUUAUUAGUAUUUUCUGCUCCAUGAGAAUUUAAAUAGCCGCAGUACCCUGACUGUGCUAAGGUAGCAUAAUCAAUUGGCUUGUAAUUUAAGUCUGGUAUGAAUGAAAUAAUGAGAGAAAAGCUGUAUAGUAAAUAAAAAACAAAAUUAUUUUGUAAGUGAAAACACUUACUGAAAAUUAUUAGACGAGAAGACCCUAGAAAUUUUUAAAGAUUGUCAAACACUUUUUUGUUGGGGCAACAUUGUUAAAAGUAACUAACAGUAAAACACAAGAAAUUAUUUGAUAGAUUAAAUUACUCUAGGGAUAACAGCGUAAUGUAUGUACGUUUGCGACCUCGAUGUUGGAUUAGGAAAUAACAGCUUAGAA
rnacentral:rRNA from 1 species